rnacentral:sRNA from 1 species
GCCGGGUGUGGUGGCAUAUGCCUGUAAUCCCAGCAGCUACGAAGGCUGAGACAGGAGGAUUUCAAGUUCAAAGCCAGCCUCCGCAAUGGUGAGGCGCUUAGCAACUCAGUGAGACCCUGUCUCUA